rnacentral:rRNA from 1 species
CGGUUAACUCCCAAACCCAAUGUGCACGUACACUGUUGCAUCGACGAUUUGGCCGGGGCGAUGCGACCAAGGCGCGGAACCACCAAACUUUGUACCCUCGCGGGUUUUUUUAUAUAUCUUAGCCUUCUCGGCGCCUUCGUAGGCGUUUCGAAAAUGAAUCAAAACUUUCAACAACGGAUCUCUUGGUUCUGGCAUCGAUGAAGAACGCAGCGAAAUGCGAUAAGUAAUGUGAAUUGCAGAAUUCAGUGAAUCAUCGAAUCUUUGAACGCACAUUGCGCCCGCCAGUAUUCUGGCGGGCAUGCCUGUCCGAGCGUCAUUUCAACCCUCGAACCCCUCCGGGGGGUCGGCGUUGGGGAUCGGCCCUCCCUUAGCGGGUGGCCGUCUCCGAAAUAUCAGUGGCGGUCUCGCCGCAGGCCUCUCCUGCGCAGUAGUUUGCACACUCGCAUCGGGAGCGCGGCGCGUCCACAGCCGUUAAACACCCAACUUCUGAAAUGUUGACCUCGGAUCAGGUAGGAU